AACGCACGAGACCUGCGGACCUGCGGAGGGAUCAUUACCGAGUGCGGGCCCUCUGGGUCCAACCUCCCACCCGUGUUUAUUGUACCUUGUUGCUUCGGCGGGCCCGCCAUUCUGGCCGCCGGGGGGCUUGCCCCCGGGCCCGCGCCCGCCGAAGACACCCUCGAACUCUGUCUGAAGAUUGUAGUCUGAGUGGAAUUAUAAAUUAUUAAAACUUUCAGCAACGGAUCUCUAGAUCGGAAG
rnacentral:misc_RNA from 1 species